AAGCCUGGCAUGAAAAAGCUGUUCAUUUUACACUGAGACAGUAGCAGCCUCCCAGGCAGACUCGGGAGAUGCUGUCCUGAGAAGGAAUGGAGCAGUGAUACGAACACAGCCUUUGCAGGGGCUGAGCAGCAGAGGCACAUCUAGGCAGUGGGUGCAGUCCAGAAGAGGCCUUCUCUGCUAUCACUGCUGGAAAUUGUAAUAGACUCAACUGUUUUAAGAUUUUGGGGAAGGCUGUGACCUGAUUGUUCUCUGCCUCCACCUAAAAGGUACUUACUUUCUGUGUAUCCUGGAACACAGUCCUCUCUUGGCAUUUGGGAGAUAACUGGGGAGAGAAUUCUGUGUGAUAAACCUGGAGCAAGACUGAUUAUAUUUUUAAUUAAGCUUUCUUAUCAGACAGAUCAGCUAUUGCCUCUGUCCAUUUCUGGUGAAUGGCUUCCUUUGCUUUGCAGCCAGCAGUGUUUGAAAGCUCCUUUAACAACCAAAAAUGCCUAGAUCUUUGCACAAACAAACCAACAAAGCCGGUUUGUGUGAAGUCAAAUUCUCCACGGAGGUCUGCACACUCUGCCACUGAGAGGCGUGUAUGAAAGCUGCUUUGGAAUAGCUAAGCCCAUUUAAAUCCAUUAAAAGGCUUCACAAUUAAAUUUGCAUGCAGCCAGGGCCUGUUCCUUCUCUCCCCAGUAGCAGCGGGCCCAGCCGUCUGGAGAACAUCAGCUCCAUGUUUCAGUGCCUCAGCCUGUCACCUUGGCCUCCACCAGCCGACUUGAAAUAUGAAUUACCCGCUUUGAUGUCCCCAGUAUUUUUCAGAAAGCAUUUUAUGCAUUUAUCUGAGGACAUUAGAGUGCUGCUGCUCUCUGUAAGAGUGAACUGUUCUGCUAACCCUGUGAGAGCAGCUCUCUUUUUGCUUGGGCUUCCAGGGGAACAACCAGCUGGAAGGUGA
rnacentral:lncRNA from 1 species